rnacentral:tRNA from 1 species
GCCUGGGUGGCUCAGUUGGUUAAGCAUCUGACUUCAGCUCAGGUCAUGAUCUCACAGUUCAUGAGUUCAAGCCCCACAUCAGGCU